rnacentral:rRNA from 1 species
ACGGGAGGCAGCAGUGGGGGAUAUUGCACAAUGGGGGAAACCCUGAUGCAGCGACGCUGCGUGAGUGAAGAAGUAUUUCGGUAUGCAAAGCUCUAUCAGCAGGGAAGAAAAUGACGGUACCUGACUAAGAAGCUCCGGCUAAAUACGUGCCAGCAGCCGCGGUAAUACGUAUGGAGCAAGCGUUAUCCGGAUUUACUGGGUGUAAAGGGAGCGUAGACGGCGUGGCAAGUCUGAUGUGAAAGCUAUGGGCUCAACCCAUAAACUGCAUUGGAAACUGUCAUGCUAGAGUGUCGGAGAGGUAAGCGGAAUUCCUAGUGUAGCGGUGAAAUGCGUAGAUAUUAGGAGGAACACCAGUGGCGAAGGCGGCUUACUGGACGAUAACUGACGUUGAGGCUCGAAAGCGUGGGGAGCAAACAGGAUUAGAUACCCUGGUA